AGCUGAGGUUGACUACGUCAAGAACAGAAGGAGAACCUCAUCUCGACGAUGACAAAAACUCGGCCGCCCAACAAAAUUGGGUAAAGGAAAAAGUUUCUUCAAUGGCACCUCAACACUUCUACAUGACCCCUCAAAAAGCAAGGGGGAGAUCCUCACUUGAAGAGAGGAGGAAAACUAAAAAGGAAGGCGGCGAAUAACGCCGACAACAGACGAAAAAAAAACCGCACCAA
rnacentral:lncRNA from 1 species